rnacentral:lncRNA from 1 species
GUUUGUUUGUCCUUUGUGUUUAUUCCUUAGUUAUCACAAUUAAUACCUAAAGUUGUCUAGUCAGUUUUCAUCGAAGUAUAGUGUAAAGCCUAUGGAAGUAUACGCUGGAAGGAAAAAAGUCUGAUUUGUUCAUUCUUUUCCCUUCUACUUUGAAAAUUAGAAACUUCUAGGAGAAAAACUUUAUCAUUUAUACUUGACAAUUAAGAUGGUUAAAUCAGUAUCUUUCAGACAUAGGAGUAGGUGGACAAUCUGGGAAUAAGUACAGACUUUUUGCCUCAAACUUUUUUUUUUUCUGGUGUUUGUGUCCGAAAGAUGUGAGAGUAGCAGCUAAUUCUAGCUUGGGAAUCCACCGAGAUGUGUUGUUUUCAUGCCAAAGAGAUCCAUUUUGUAGCUAGAUGAGUGGUAUAUAUCCAGUGUACUUUAAAUAGGUAAUCUU